UAUCACAACUGGACUUAGCUCUAGGAUGUACUCAUUGCAUGGGCUGUGUAUAUUUUUAUUUAAUACCCAGAGCAUGCAUUGUGGACAUAAUAGAGAUUGAAAGACAGCCAGAAGG
rnacentral:pre_miRNA from 15 species